CAUUACCGCCACGGGAGUCCGGUGCACCGGCCGGACUGAGAGGUGGGCGCACGACCCACGACCGUUCGCACCUGAUCCGGAUCAUGCCGGCGCAGGGAGGCAGGCUCACCUCGGG
rnacentral:ncRNA from 2 species